UGCGGGGUGUCAGAAGUUGGUAUCUGGGGAGUCUCAUAAGCUCCUGCUUUUUAGCCUCGGGGGUUCGAGUCCCCCUCCCGCAA
rnacentral:tRNA from 1 species